rnacentral:lncRNA from 1 species
UCCGCCUCAAAAAUCGAUGAUUUUUUUUUGAUCUCGACUUUACAAACAAAUUUGAAAGGUACACUUGUUAUUAAUAAUAUGUAAUUUUAUAAUUAUAUUUACUUAUAACUUUUCUUCCGUAAAACAAUAAUCAAAUGCCUUCACUUUUAAAAUUAUUUUUUUAAAAAUAGAGAAAAUCUGUAUCUCGAGAAAGUUUUGAGUUAGAAAUAAAAUGGAAUAAGUCAAAUAAGUUGUUUUAAAAAAUAAGAUUAUUCGAAUAGACUCAAAAUGUGUGUUUUAUUACCCACGACCUUUCUGAAGAAAAAAAAACAUUUCAAUCCAAGUCCGUCCGACUAAAAUACGAUUGAAGUGAUACUGUACUAUUGGAAUAUCAAAACGUACUAUGGCAGAACAAUAAUAUAAAUAUACAGAGUUCGGCAAGAAAAAAAAAAUUUACUAAACGAUGAUUAUCCCCUCACCCCUGACGACUUGUUAUAUACACCGUAAAAUGGCAUAAUGGAUAUUAUUUAUAAAUAUAUUCGAUUCGGUGGAUUUUGGUUUCAAUAAAUAUAUAAUUCGUCUUCGUAUUCCAUAUUUAUGUAGGACGAAUUAUAUAUUAUUUUUUUAUUCGACAAACGUAUUUUAUUCGACUUUUUAAUUCCGUUUUUCCGUUUAUACACCUUCUUCUUUGCACCUGCGCAAUUUUCUAUAUUCCUUUGCGUUUAUAAUUUAUUUAUUAUCAUCCGUACGUGGCUUUUUCGAGUCGGUGUUUAUUUUUUUUCUGUUUCUAUAUUAAAUUGCGGUCAGCAAAAUGCUCAAAUAACUACCCACCUCGGCCCCUAAUAUUUAAUAGUACCUAUAGUGUUGGCAUAGAUCAUAGAUAAAUUAAUGGGCCAUUGUAACGGUUAUCACAUUAAGGUCAGUUUUAAGAGAUUUUUAUGUGGUACCUACUACAUUACUUUGUUUCUUCCAUCAUUUGAUUCUAUAGCGAUUAACGGAAACGCAUUCAAGAAAUCGACAUUUGAGACUCGCCCGUCCAACACUCAGAAAUCACUGUCGGUAUAAGAAUAAUCUUUACCUACCAACCAACCCAAUCUAAUAUAAUAUGCUAUUAUCAUUGAUAUCCAUGACGGGUUAUAAAAAAAUAUCCUCUACCUUCCAUACAAAUUACGGAGAUCACAAACCAAACCGAUGUAUUUCUGUAGCGUCCCGUUCAUUUAUCUGCCAUACAUAAGUAGGCGUAGGAGUGUAUGAGGUCAUGGUGGUCGCCAAAAACUUCAAAGUUGAGUCGCCCUCUGUUGGUCGAUUUACUAUUAUUUUUAUUUUAUUUUUUUUUUUUUAAUCCUACAUUUCGUUUGUCGCGCACGCAGGUCGAUCUAAGACAACGUUUGUAUCGGUCGACCGAACCGUCAACGGUCAUCGCAGUCUAAACGGCCGCAUACUCGUAAAACAAAAUAUUAAUAAAACUUGAAAACCAUUAAAAUAAUAAAUAUGUUGAAUUUUUCACACGUCGUGGUAUUCGAUCUCCGGCUCACGUUAAUAUUAUACGCGCAUCCAUUUAAUGUUUUAUUAAAAAUAAAAAUGAAAUAAAGCAAUUUCGCGUCUUAUUGAGCCGAUUUUUUUUUUUUUUUUGUAUUGAUAACGUUUUUCUACGUGGCGAUUACUUUCCGUCG